GAUGAACGCUAGCUACAGGCUUAACACAUGCAAGUCGAGGGGUAACGAGAGGAAAGCUUGCUUUCCUUGUCGACGACCGGCGCACGGGUGAGUAACGCGUAUCCAACCUGCCCCCAACUAGGGAAUAACCUUGCGAAAGUAAGACUAAUACCCUAUAAUUUCCUCAGAUGUCAUCUGACGAGGAAUAAAGAUUUAUCGGUUGUGGAUGGGGAUGCGUCUGAUUAGCUUGUUGGCGGGGUAACGGCCCACCAAGGCAACGAUCAGUAGGGGUUCUGAGAGGAAGGUCCCCCACAUUGGAACUGAGACACGGUCCAAACUCCUACGGGAGGCAGCAGUGAGGAAUAUUGGUCAAUGGGCGGAAGCCUUAACCAGCCAAGUAGCGUGCAGGAUGACGGCCCUAUGGGUUGUAAACUGCUUUUAUACAGGAAUAAAGUUAGCCACGUGUGGUUAUUUCUAGGUACUGUAUGAAUAAGGACCGGCUAAUUCCGUGCCAGCAGCCGCCGCAG
rnacentral:rRNA from 1 species